rnacentral:tRNA from 1 species
UUUUGGAUGGCGCAGCGGUGCGCGACAGUCUGUAUAACUGUUGUUGCGGGUUCGAAUCCCGCUCCAAAAGCCA